GACGAACACUGGCGGCGUGCCUAACACAUGCAAGUCGAACGGGGUUAAGACUUCGGUUUUAACUUAGUGGCGAACGGGUAAGUAACGCGUGAGAAACCUGCCUUUCAGUGGGGGACAACAGUUGGAAACGACUGCUAAUACCGCAUAAUGUUAUUUGGGGGCAUCCCUGAAUAACCAAAGAUUUAUUGCUGAAAGAUGGUCUCGCGUCUGAUUAGCUAGUUGGUGAGGUAACGGCUCACCAAGGCGACGAUCAGUAGCCGGUCUGAGAGGAUGAACGGCCACAUUGGGACUGAGAUACGGCCCAGACUCCUACGGGAGGCAGCAGUGGGGAAUAUUGGGCAAUGGGGGAAACCCUGACCCAGCAACGCCGCGUGAAGGAAGAAGGCCUUCGGGUUGUAAACUUCUUUUACCAGGGACGAACAAAUGACGGUACCUGGAGAAAAAGCAACGGCUAACUACGUGCCAGCAGCCGCGGUAACAC
rnacentral:rRNA from 1 species